CCUACGGGGGGCUGCAGUGGGGAAUAUUGCACAAUGGGCGCAAGCCUGAUGCAGCCAUGCCGCGUGUGUGAAGAAGGCCUUCGGGUUGUAAAGCACUUUCAGCGGGGAGGAAGGCGUUAAGGUUAAUAACCUUGGCGAUUGACGUUACCCGCAGAAGAAGCACCGGCUAACUCCGUGCCAGCAGCCGCGGUAAUACGGAGGGUGCAAGCGUUAAUCGGAAUUACUGGGCGUAAAGCGCACGCAGGCGGUCUGUCAAGUCGGAUGUGAAAUCCCCGGGCUCAACCUGGGAACUACAUUCGAAACUGGCAGGCUAGAGUCUUGUAGAGGGGGGUAGAAUUCCAGGUGUAGCGGUGAAAUGCGUAGAGAUCUGGAGGAAUACCGGUGGCGAAGGCGGCCCCCUGGACAAAGACUGACGCUCAGGUGCAAAAGCGUGGGGAGCAAACAGGAUUAGAUACCCGUGUAGUC
rnacentral:rRNA from 1 species